GACGAACGCUGGCGGCGUGCUUAACACAUGCAAGUCGAACGGAAAGGCCCUGCUUUUGUGGGGUGCUCGAGUGGCGAACGGGUGAGUAACACGUGAGUAACCUGCCCUUGACUUUGGGAUAACUUCAGGAAACUGGGGCUAAUACCGGAUAGGAGCUCCUGCUGCAUGGUGGGGGUUGGAAAGUUUCGGCGGUUGGGGAUGGACGCGCGGCUUAUCAGCUUGUUGGUGGGGUAGUGGCUUACCAAGGCCUUGACGGGUAGCCGGCCUGAGAGGGUGACCGGCCACAUUGGGACUGAGAUACGGCCCAGACUCGUACGGGAGGCAGCAGUGGGGAAUAUUGCACAAUGGGCGGAAGCCUGAUGCAGCAACGCCGCGUGCGGGAUGACGGCCUUCGGGUUGUAAACCGCUUUCGCCUGUGACGAAGCGUGAGUGACGGUAAUGGGUAAAGAAGCACCGGCUAACUACGUG
rnacentral:rRNA from 1 species